rnacentral:rRNA from 1 species
UACGUAGGGUGCAAGCGUUGUCCGGAAUUAUUGGGCGUAAAGAGCUCGUAGGCGGUUCGUCGCGUCGGCUGUGAAAACCUGAGGCUCAACCUCAGGCCUGCAGUCGAUACGGGCGGACUUGAGUACUGCAGGGGAGACUGGAAUUCCUGGUGUAGCGGUGAAAUGCGCAGAUAUCGGGAGGAACACCGGUGGCGAAGGCGGUUCUCUGGGCCUUACCUGACGCUGAGGAGCGAAAGCGUGGGGAGCGAACAGG